GUAGCGGCGAGUGAAGCGGCAAAAGCUCAAAUUUGAAAUCUGGCUCUUUCAGAGUCCGAGUUGUAAUUUGAAGAAGGUAUCUUUGGGUCUGGCUCUGUCUAUGUUUCUUGGAACAGAACGUCACAGAGGGUGAGAAUCCCGUGCGAUGAGAUGAUCCAGGCCUAUGUAAAGUUCCUUCGAAGAGUCGAGUUGUUUGGGAAUGCAGCUCUAAGUGGGUGGUAAAUUCCAUCUAAAGCUAAAUAUUGGCGAGAGACCGAUAGCGAACAAGUACAGUGAUGGAAAGAUGAAAAGAACUUUGAAAAGAGAGUGAAAAAGUACGUGAAAUUGUUGAAAGGGAAGGGCUUGAGAUCAGACUUGGUAUUUUGUAUGUUACUUCUUCGGGGGUGGCCUCUACAGUUUAUCGGGCCAGCAUCAGUUUGGGCGGUAGGAGAAUUGCGUUGGAAUGUGGCACGGCUUCGGUUGUGUGUUAUAGCCUUCGUCGAUACUGCCAGCCUAGACUGAGGACUGCGGUUUAUACCUAGGA
rnacentral:rRNA from 1 species